ACAUGUACAAUAUAAGUCCAUUUUCUGUGUACUAGGGUCAUAAGUGGACUCUAGUUUCAUUGCAGUUGCAGUUAAGAGGAUCUAAUGUCUGGAUUUUUUUUAUUGUUAUCUGUUGGUUAAGCCCAUUCUCAAUUUCCAAACUCUUCUGAGAUUUCCUGGCUCUUCACCUUUGUCUUCUAGCCUCAGAGAAAGUCAUAGCAAUUGGCUACUCUGACUGUCAUUUAAAUGCUUGCUCUGCCUUACUCUUGACUGCGUAUCCAUGACUACCAUGCUGUCUCACUAUACUAAGAACACCCCUGUUCUCACACUGGAUAAACUGCAACAAAUCAGAAUAUCUUGUUUUUUAAACAGGCUUUCAACUGAAAACCAUCUUUUCUUACUUUAUUUUAUUUUUAGUUUUCAAAACUAGUUUUAAAAAAAUAAUUAAACGAAGUCUUAGGUUUACUUAUGGAACUGUCAAAUGACUUUUUUUAAAAAUUCAUUUUCAUCUUUCUGUUCCUUUUUGCACCCUACCCUAGUAGCUCUCUUUCUGCUUCCACUUUACAUGUGUUCUAACCCCACCUUCUUCCUGCACACUUCUUGGCUCUGUCUUGUGGUUCCCUUCUUAGUACAAAACCUUUUCCCUUUUGGUUAAGUAACUGAACAGAUCCACAGGACUGAGAGCAUGAAGAGCCACUAUUUACCCUUUCGUUCUUGGGGCAUGACAGAGGGAAGAUACAGAACCAAAAGAGGAUGCAGAAACAAGCAUCAAGGUGGCCACCCAGAUGUUAAAAACCACUGUUUUUCAGCCACCAAGAUGAAACACAUGGCUAACGCUGGGACGAUGAAUUGCUUGCACUCUUGGAGAAGCCCAUACCCUUACUUGAGCACAACUUACUUUCUUCGGCCUUUCUUUGAGAAGCCCACAUCCCUACUCUGGUGUGUCUUACUUUCUUUGGAGCCCCUCUUGUUUUUCUUAACACUGAGGUUUAAGCCUGUAUUAAAGUAUCUUUAAUAAAAUUUUCAACUCUGUUUCAUCA
rnacentral:sRNA from 1 species